UGCAUGGAAGGUGGUUCUUGUAUGUCAUGUGGCUGAAUUUGAAAAUACAUUGUGUUGUCAUGUUUCUUUGUUGGUUAUGUAGCGUGUCACUGUAAGUGUUACUUAAGCACUGUCGGUGUCAUGAGUUAAGACACCAGAUUGUGAUCAAAGCCGUCUCCGUAUAUCCUGCUGUUUGGAUUUUUGAUGGUGGAUGACCUAGAAUUGAUAGUGAUUUACCUUACUGGGAAUUCAGUGGUUGUUGAUGUUCAUGAUGUGAUGGAUUUUGGUGACAAGUGUGAUGAAACUACUGAAAGAGCUGAAUCUUCUCAGAAUCAUCAAAUAAGCAGCAGUGAUGAAUUUAAUUUGUGAACUUGGCCAGGUCACAAAACCAAAUAUAAUGUUGUUGAGAAAAUAUUCAGGCCAGGAGACGCUGUCUGGGGAUGUUCAUCCACCUGACGCAAGUUUGUUCGAUGCCACUCCAAUUACUUGUGCAUCUCUGGGAUGAGGAUUAGAUGAAAUAGUUAGAACAGCACAAACAUCUCGUCCCUGAGUGAAGAAAAUCUGUGAACUGGCCAGGAAUCGAGCCUGGAACUUCACCAUGUAGAGGCAGCAAUGCUGCUGUGGAAAACUGUAAGGCCCAGCAUUUGUGGGAGAAAUGGUAUGAUGGAGGCUACCUUAGCCAGAGCCCAGAUAUUGUGAACUGAGAGAGAACUUGUGAAUAUGCCAGUCUUGUUCAGUGUGGUAUGGGAAACAGCCAUUGUCAAGAUUGAGGUUAAAUCUUUUUAUUGGGUAAAUCAGAUGUGUUUGUCUGGAGGCAACAUUGCCUGUGAAAACCAAUGGUCCAGUAUUGAGCCUUGGCCAGUUGCAAAUGGUAAUUAGCAGGCAAGGUCUUCACCACAUUCUAAGACAUUGAUACAGGCAGUCAACCUCCCUGCUUCUUAGACAUUUUGUUGAACUUAUUGAAAAUUAUUACAGCGCCUUCUGUCAUGUAAAAGACUUGCCACAAACUGUGGUUAAUUGACCAGUUUGGGCAAAUCCUUUACGUGUUGGGAGGUGCUAAAGUUGCGUUUAUAUCAAAAUGAAGAAGAGUGAUGUGAUUUUAGUUAAAUGAACUGUAGCUACUUGGAAUAGAAGUUGCAAGUUGUAUGUAAACAAUACAUUGUAUUUUUAACAUACUUAACUGAUAUAGUUUGUUUCAUAGCAAUGAAAAGAGCUGCAAAAUUUAUACGUACAUACAUAAAGCAUCCUCCAAGUGUCUGGGAGGAGCUGCAGUUAAGCCCCUCCCUUCCUCCCACACACACAGUAUCCAGGCUGACCUAGUGCAGACAACUUGUAAGGCAGAGAAACAACAAGGAAGUUGAAGCCAAGUUUCAGUGUAAUGCAUUCCACAUGCCUGUAGUGGCUUGUGAAGCAAUGUUUAUUUCUACUUCCAGAACAGUCAACAUGAAGUGCAUUUUGUGUGUCAGAAUACUAAAUAUUUGUCUUUCAAUUUUGAAUGUAAUCUCUGUCAAGUAGUAUGUAGUAUUAAUUGUGAGGACAUUUAAAAGCAGUUGACAGACUGGUUUUUGUUUCUACAUAUUUGUUUGAACCAAGUGGCAUACAGGAUGACAUCUGUUUAGAGACAGUGAAAGUGCACUUGUGAAGAGGAUUUUUUGUACAGCAUACCUUGGUAUCCGAAGGAUUUCCCACAGACUGCAAAUAAGAGUUCAGUCUUGGGAGGUCCUUUGGUUAUGAGUGUGUGCUCAGGUGACACUUGUAAGUGAAAGAAAGUCAACUUCUGGUUUUUCUGGAUUUCUUGAAGUAUUCAUGUUCUGACUACUGAUCAGUGGUUAGUGUCACAGUAUUAUUUCUGUAUUCAGCCUUAAAUUGCUCUGCAUCAUGAAUGGCAAUAAAAUGGUUGUAAUUGCUCAGAUGUGGGCUUUUUAUGGAAAGUAUUCACCAUAUAAUGCAACUGCAGUAUUAGCUUCUCUCUCUCUCU